CCUACGGGCGGCAGCAGUGGGGAAUAUUGCACAAUGGGCGCAAGCCUGAUGCAGCCAUGCCGCGUGUGUGAAGAAGGCCUUCGGGUUGUAAAGCACUUUCAGCGGGGAGGAAGGCGUUAAGGUUAAUAACCUUGUCGAUUGACGUUACCCGCAGAAGAAGCACCGGCUAACUCCGUGCCAGCAGCCGCGGUAAUACGGAGGGUGCAAGCGUUAAUCGGAAUUACUGGGCGUAAAGCGCACGCAGGCGGUCUGUCAAGUCGGAUGUGAAAUCCCCGGGCUCAACCUGGGAACUGCAUUCGAAACUGGCAGGCUAGAGUCUUGUAGAGGGGGGUAGAAUUCCAGGUAUAGCGGUGAAAUGCGUAGAGAUCUGGAGGAAUACCGGUGGCGAAGGCGGCCCCCUGGACAAAGACUGACGCUCAGGUGCGAAAGCGUGGGGAGCAAACAGGAUUAGAUACCCUUGUAGUC
rnacentral:rRNA from 1 species